GCUCUGCUGCUUCAAGCCUUUGGCAUCCAGUGCCUUGUACUUAAUGAAAGUUUGCAACACUCUGAGCAACUGUUCUCAGUUCUUCUGCCUUAUUUCUGGCCUCCGUUGCAACUGUUUUGACCUAGUGAAGGCCUAGACUUUCUCAGACAGAUUUCUUUUAACUCUUCUGCCCUGACUCCAGUCUUCACUGGGAUGCUGCCUUGCACUUAGGGAAGGUUCACAUGCCUCAAGGAUCUCUCUCUCUCAGAUUUCUUGACUUUCCCUCAGUCUUCAGUAUAGUCCUCCUCUGUGCCUGGUGAAGACCUGUGGUAAAGUGCUGGCAGGUGAGUACAGCUUGAUGGUGUGGAUGGGUUCCUUGGGACUCCAGCAUGUCAAGCUAGUUCACACACAGGUCUUAAUAGUUGUCUAAGAUUCAUGUAGUUCCUCAUUUUCUUUUCUGUGGUAGAUUCUGUUUCCUGCUGCACCACCAGGGAUGAAAAAAUUCACUGGUCUCUUCUUUUAUAGAACGGGAUCAUAACUAUACAGAUUUUAGUUAAGUUAGCUUUAUUAGUAUUCUCAGCUUUUUUAA
rnacentral:lncRNA from 1 species